rnacentral:pre_miRNA from 1 species
AAUGUAUGACGCCGUUGACUUUUCGUCUAACGUUUGACCAUUCGUCUUAGUCAAAAAUUUUAUGUAAUUAUCAUUUAUUUUAUUGUGACUUGAUUCAUCAUCAAAUAUUCUUUAAGCAUGACAUAAAUAUUUUCAUAAAAAAUUUAAAUAAAACGAAUGGUCAAAUGUUGGUUAAAAAGUCAACGGCGUCAUACAUU